rnacentral:rRNA from 1 species
AUAACUUUUAACAAUGGAUCUCUAGGCUCUCACAUCGAUGAAGAACACAGUGAAAUGUGAUAAGUAAUGUGAAUUGCAGAAUUCGGUGAAUCAUUGAAUCUUUGAACGCACCUUGCACCUUUUGGUAUUCCAAAAGGUACACCUGUUUGAGUGUCAU